rnacentral:rRNA from 1 species
UACGUAGGGUGCAAGCGUUGUCCGGAAUUAUUGGGCGUAAAGCGCUCGCAGGCGGUCCGAUGCGUCGUGCGUGAAAGACCCCGGCUCAACUGGGGAGGGUCGUGCGAUACGGUCGGACUCGAGGCCAGUAGGGGGACGCGGAAUUCCGGGUGUAGUGGUGGAAUGCGUAGAGAUCCGGAGGAACACCAGCGGCGAAGGCGGCGUCCUGGACUGGUACUGACGCUCAGGAGCGAAAGCGUGGGGAGCGAGUCCGG